UACGGGGGGGGCAAGCGUUGUUCGGAAUUACUGGGCGUAAAGCGCACGUAGGCGGAUUGUUAAGUCGGGGGUGAAAUCCUGAGGCUCAACCUCAGAACUGCCUUCGAUACUGGCGAUCUUGAGUUCGGAAGAGGUUGGUGGAACAGCUAGUGUAGAGGUGAAAUUCGUAGAUAUUAGCUAGAACACCAGUGGCGAAGGCGGCCAACUGGUCCGAUACUGACGCUGAGGUGCGAAAGCGUGGGGAGCAAACAGG
rnacentral:rRNA from 1 species